rnacentral:rRNA from 1 species
UACGUAGGGUGCCAGCGUUAAUCGGAAUUACUGGGCGUAAAGCGUGCGCAGGCGGUUAUAUAAGACAGAUGUGAAAUCCCCGGGCUCAACCUGGGAACUGCAUUUGUGACUGUAUAGCUAGAGUACGGCAGAGGGGGAUGGAAUUCCGCGUGUAGCAGUGAAAUGCGUAGAUAUGCGGAGGAACACCGAUGGCGAAGGCAAUCCCCUGGGCCUGUACGGACGCGCAUGCAAGAAAGCGGGGGGCGAACACAGGAGGCGAUAACACCGGAGUCC